rnacentral:rRNA from 1 species
GAUGAACGCUGGCGGCGUGCCUAAUACAUGCAAGUCGAGCGAACAGAUGAGGAGCUUGCUCCUCUGACGUUAGCGGCGGACGGGUGAGUAACACGUGGAUAACCUACCUAUAAGACUGGGAUAACUUCGGGAAACCGGAGCUAAUACCGGAUAAUAUAUUGAACCGCAUGGUUCUAUAGUGAAAGACGGUUUUGCUGUCACUUAUAGAUGGAUCCGCGCCGCAUUAGCUAGUUGGUAAGGUAACGGCUUACCAAGGCAACGAUGCGUAGCCGACCUGAGAGGGUGAUCGGCCACACUGGAACUGAGACACGGUCCAGACUCCUACGGGAGGCAGCAGUAGGGAAUCUUCCGCAAUGGGCGAAAGCCUGACGGAGCAACGCCGCGUGAGUGAUGAAGGUCUUCGGAUCGUAAAACUCCGUUAUUAGGGAAGAACAAAUGUGUAAGUAACUAUGCACGUCUUGACGGUACCUAAUCAGAAAGCCACGGCUAACUACGUG